rnacentral:rRNA from 1 species
UACGUAGGGUGCAAGCGUUAAUCGGAAUUACUGGGCGUAAAGCGUGCGCAGGCGGUUUUGUAAGUCAGAUGUGAAAUCCCCGGGCUUAACCUGGGAACUGCGUUUGAAACUACAAGGCUAGAGUGUGACAGAGGGGGGUGGAAUUCCACGUGUAGCAGUGAAAUGCGUAGAGAUGUGGAGGAACACCGAUGGCGAAGGCAGCCCCCUGGGUUAACACUGACGCUCAGGCACGAAAGCGUGGGGAGCGAACAGG